UGCCUGCAACUCCCAGCCCCAUGGACCCCUUGGAUGUAGAAAUGGCAUCACUGUAAGCUGCGGCCUCACUGGGAAGCUGUGGCUAGGAAGCACCUCGCCCCGUCUAUGAACGCCACAGACCAACCACCAGCAGAAACAGAACGGGUAAUCGAUGGAAGGCUGUUACCGAUGUUUGAUGUUAUCAUCAGGCAUGAACAUUUUUUGAGGUCUACAAUGUUCUGGGACUUUGCUGAGCCUACAGGGGAUGAGGAGACAUUGAGACCAUCUUCAAAGGACUCAGCCAAAGGAUGGAAUAGGACAGAGAGGAGCCUGGCUCCCUGGGGCUCAAAGGAAGACAGCCAGCCCAGCCUGGAGGCAUCUAGGAAGGUGUCCUAAGGAUGAAACUCAAGUCCUGAAAGAUGAGUAGGUGAUCAUCCGUCAAGAAGACGAGAGCAUGCUGAUGGGAAGAAAGAGAAUGCGCCAUGGCCCACAGCGAGAGCAUGGUGCAGCCUUUGGGGAAGUCUACAGCGCGGGCACAGAGAGGGCAGGUGCAGGGAGGCUGGGCUGCCAGAAAGGUGAGAGGCCUCGGAGGAUUUUAUCCUGAAAACCGGGGGGCCACGAAAAGAUUGUCAGCAAAGGAUCCACUUGAUGUGUGUUAGAUUCUGGAACCAUUAUCCUGGAGGCUGGUAGAGUGUGGGCCAGCUUGGGCCUUGCUGUGGAAAGACCAGGGCCAGCAAAAGGAGGGGGCUACUGAGGCUAUAAAAUAGCACUGACCCAAAGCCAGGGGGGGAUGUGUGGUCCUCAGAAGCGAUGGGUAGUCAGCAGGGGCCAAGCCGGGAGGGCUAGGAAGCCUUCUGGGGGGCCGCCCGCACAGGCUGAGCAGAACUGUAGCGGACUCGGGACCUGCUGGGUCAAUGGCUCUGAGGGUUGCGUUGGGUGACCUGCAGCUUCAGCCAGAGGGCCAGGCAGCCAUGUGUGUGCACAACACCUGGCCAUGCACGCUCGCCUCCUGUAGGGCAGGCUGGUGGUCCCUGUGCUCCUUCACUGCCAGCUUCUCCUCCCAGCCCUGCCCUGACCUCCAGAGCAGCUAGAGAUGAUUGGGGACGCUGUCAGAGGGCCCGUCCGAGCCAAGUCCUCAAGGUCCCUGGAGCCCCAGGAUGAGAAGCUGGCUCGGGGUGCAGAGCGGAGGCGCUGGGCGAGCAGCUUUCUCGGGAGCCCGGCACGCCGAGGGCACCACGCAUUGAGAAAUGCCCCCGCCACACUCCGCCUGCUCGGGUGGGUCAACUGGGGCAGCUGAGGGAAACCCAGGGCAGAGGGCUGGGAGGGCAUCAGGGUGACAGAGAAGCAGGAGGCUGAGUUCUGGUGCUGCUCCCCCCUCUGAAAAGAGGGAACAUGC
rnacentral:lncRNA from 1 species